rnacentral:rRNA from 1 species
UACGUAGGUGGCAAGCGUUGUUCGGAUUUACUGGGCGUAAAGGGCGCGUAGGCGGUCACGACAAGUCAGUUGUGAAAUCUCCGGGCUUAACUCGGAACGGUCAACUGAUACUGUCGGACUAGAGUGCAGAAGGGGCAACUGGAAUUCUCGGUGUAGCGGUGAAAUGCGUAGAUAUCGAGAGGAACACCUGCGGCGAAGGCGGGUUGCUGGGCUGACACUGACGCUGAGGCGCGAAAGCUAGGGGAGCGAACGGG